ensembl:ncRNA C29H12.14 ncRNA
UGACGUGGCAUCAACCAUUUUAUAGCCAAUUUUAGAUUCAAUCGGAGGCGGGUGGCACAAGAAUAAAAUGCAU